UACCGUGAAACUGCGAAUGGCUCAUUAAAUCAGUUAUCGUUUAUUUGAUAGUACCUUACUACUUGGAUAACCGUGGUAAUUCUAGAGCUAAUACAUGCUAAAAACCCCAACUUCGGGAGGGGUGUAUUUAUUAGAUAAAAAACCAAUGCCCUUCGGGGCUCUUUGGUGAUUCAUGAUAACUUAACGGAUCGCAUGGCCUUGCGCCGGCGACGGUUCAUUCAAAUUUCUGCCCUAUCAACUUUCGAUGGUAAGGUAUUGGCUUACCAUGGUUUCAACGGGUAACGGGGAAUUAGGGUUCGAUUCCGGAGAGGGAGCCUGAGAAACGGCUACCACAUCCAAGGAAGGCAGCAGGCGCGCAAAUUACCCAAUCCCGACACGGGGAGGUAGUGACAAUAAAUACUGAUACAGGGCUCUUUUGGGUCUUGUAAUUGGAAUGAGUACAAUUUAAACCCCUUAACGAGGAACAAUUGGAGGGCAAGUCUGGUGCCAGCAGCCGCGGUAAUUCCAGCUCCAAUAGCGUAUAUUAAAGUUGUUGCAGUUAAAAAGCUCGUAGUUGAAACUUGGGCCUGGCUGUCUGGUCCGCCUCACCGCGUGUACUGGUUCGGCCGGGCCUUUCCUUCUGGAGAGCCUCAUGCCCUUCACUGGGUGUGUUGGGGAACCAGGACUUUUACUUUGAAAAAAUUAGAGUGUUCAAAGCAGGCCUUUGCUCGAAUACGUUAGCAUGGAAUAAUAGAAUAGGACGUGCGAUCCUAUUUUGUUGGUUUCUAGGACCGCCGUAAUGAUUAAUAGGGAUAGUCGGGGGCAUCAGUAUUCAAUUGUCAGAGGUGAAAUUCUUGGAUUUAUUGAAGACUAACUACUGCGAAAGCAUUUGCCAAGGAUGUUUUCAUUAAUCAGUGAACGAAAGUUAGGGGAUCGAAGACGAUCAGAUACCGUCGUAGUCUUAACCGUAAACUAUGCCGA
rnacentral:rRNA from 1 species